GGCAGCAGAUGGCAGUAGGUCGCGCCCGCCUUACAAGCAGGAGGUCACUGGUUCGAGCCCAGUACCGCCCA
rnacentral:tRNA from 2 species